rnacentral:rRNA from 1 species
AUGAACGCUAGCUACAGGCUUAACACAUGCAAGUCGAGGGGCAGCAUGGUCUUAGCUUGCUAAGGCCGAUGGCGACCGGCGCACGGGUGAGUAACACGUAUCCAACCUGCCGUCUACUCUUGGACAGCCUUCUGAAAGGAAGAUUAAUACAAGAUGGCAUCAUGAGUCCGCAUGUUCACAUGAUUAAAGGUAUUCCGGUAGACGAUGGGGAUGCGUUCCAUUAGAUAGUAGGCGGGGUAACGGCCCACCUAGUCUUCGAUGGAUAGGGGUUCUGAGAGGAAGGUCCCCCACAUUGGAACUGAGACACGGUCCAAACUCCUACGGGAGGCAGCAGUGAGGAAUAUUGGUCAAUGGGCGAGAGCCUGAACCAGCCAAGUAGCGUGAAGGAUGACUGCCCUAUGGGUUGUAAACUUCUUUUAUAAAGGAAUAAAGUCGGGUAUGCAUACCCGUUUGCAUGUACUUUAUGAAUAAGGAUCGGCUAACUCCGUGCCAGCAGCCGCGGUAAUACGGAGGAUCCGAGCGUUAUCCGGAUUUAUUGGGUUUAAAGGGAGCGUAGAUGGAUGUUUAAGUCAGUUGUGAAAGUUUGCGGCUCAACCGUAAAAUUGCAGUUGAUACUGGAUAUCUUGAGUGCAGUUGAGGCAGGCGGAAUUCGUGGUGUAGCGGUGAAAUGCUUAGAUAUCACGAAGAACUCCGAUUGCGAAGGCAGCCUGCUAAGCUGCAACUGACAUUGAGGCUCGAAAGUGUGGGUAUCAAACAGGAUUAGAUACCCUGGUAGUCCACACGGUAAACGAUGAAUACUCGCUGUUUGCGAUAUACAGCAAGCGGCCAAGCGAAAGCGUUAAGUAUUCCACCUGGGGAGUAUGCCGGCAACGGUGAAACUCAAAGGAAUUGACGGGGGCCCGCACAAGCGGAGGAACAUGUGGUUUAAUUCGAUGAUACGCGAGGAACCUUACCCGGGCUUAAAUUGCAGAUGAAUUACGGUGAAAGCCGUAAGCCGCAAGGCAUCUGUGAAGGUGCUGCAUGGUUGUCGUCAGCUCGUGCCGUGAGGUGUCGGCUUAAGUGCCAUAACGAGCGCAACCCUUGUUGUCAGUUACUAACAGGUUCCGCUGAGGACUCUGACAAGACUGCCAUCGUAAGAUGUGAGGAAGGUGGGGAUGACGUCAAAUCAGCACGGCCCUUACGUCCGGGGCUACACACGUGUUACAAUGGGGGGUACAGAGGGCCGCUACCACGCGAGUGGAUGCCAAUCCCCAAAACCUCUCUCAGUUCGGACUGGAGUCUGCAACCCGACUCCACGAAGCUGGAUUCGCUAGUAAUCGCGCAUCAGCCACGGCGCGGUGAAUACGUUCCCGGGCCUUGUACACACCGCCCGUCAAGCCAUGGGAGCCGGGGGUACCUGAAGUGCGUAACCGCGAGGAGCGCCCUAGGGUAAAACUGGUGACUGGGGCU